UUUAUUCGUGGAGAGUUGGCCCCCACUCCGGACUGAGCCGAAGGAGUUUAUUCGAAGCUCUUCGGGUUGGUCUUGUAAGAGGUUUUCAGUGUCAUGGGGUGUUUUGUGGAUAAAAGAGUUGACAGGAGAUAGGGUUUUUUUAUAGGUGUUGGGGCAUGAGGAAAAAUAUGAAGUGGAGUGAUUUGUGUUUUUGUGCCAAGAAUGGAUUAUAUUUAGAUUAAUACUUUUUUAGCAAAUAAGGAUAUAACAUAAAAGACAACUUGACGAAAGGUUCGGCCGUUGGGUCGAUAACAAUUUGGCGAUGUUGUGACUGUUUAGCAUUCAAGUCGAGAUGAGGCGGCUUUGUCAGCAAGACAAUUGACUAACGAAGGCUCAUUAGCUUCAAGGUGGACAUCGCCGAUGGACUACUUGAUUGUUACGGCGACUAUUGAAAGGAAAUAUUCAAAUGACUACCAGGAAUCAAUUUUCUAUGUGUCAAACCAGAGUAGACAUUAUAAGAAUAGCUUUAAUUGAGACUAGAGGCAGAAAAAUAAUAGUAUAAUAUGAAGAGGAGAAAAAUUAGAAAAACCUUUUUGCUGGCAUCCUACACAAUAAUGGCUA